CGGGGUGCACCAGGCGCGAAACCUUUACAAUGCGCGAAAGCGUGAUAAGGUUAUCCGGAGUGCUGAGAGCACAACUCUUAGCUGUUAUCGGGCAUAGAUAACCCGAUGAGAAAGGAGAGGGCAAGGCUGGUGCCAGCCGCCGCGGUAAAACCAGCUCUUCAAGUGGUCGGGACGAUUAUUGGGCUUAAAGUGUCCGUAGCCGGUUUGGUAAGUUCUUGGUUAAAUCUGACAGCUUAACUGUCAGCGUGCUAAGAAGACUGCCUUACUAGGGGGCGGGAAAGGUCUGAGGUACUCCAGGGGUAGCGGUGAAAUGUGAUAAUCCUUGGGGGACCACCAGUGGCGAAGGCGUCAGACUGGAACGCGCCCGACGGUGAGGGACGAAAGCUAGGGGAGCGAACGGGAUCAGAUACCCCGGUAGUCCUAGCUGUAAACGAUGCGUGCUAGGUGUUGGUAGGGCUAUGAGCUGUAUCAGUGCCGUAGGGAAACUGUUAAGCACGCCGCCUGGGAAGUACGCUCGCAAGAGUGAAACUUAAAGGAAUUGGCGGGGGAGCA
rnacentral:rRNA from 1 species